CACGUAGGGGGCGAGCGUUGUCCGGAUUUAUUGGGCGUAAAGAGCUCGUAGGCGGCUCGGUAAGUCGGCUGUGAAAGUCCAGGGCUCAACCCUGGGAUGCCGGUCGAUACUGCCGGACUAGAGUUCGGAAGAGGCGAGUGGAAUUCCCGGUGUAGCGGUGAAAUGCGCAGAUAUCGGGAGGAACACCAAUGGCGAAGGCAGCUCGCUGGGACGUUACUGACGCUGAGA
rnacentral:rRNA from 1 species